CUUCAGUGAUGAUUCGAUGACGAGUCGGAAAUGGACUCUGUCUCUACUGUGGUGUCUGGCUUAGGGUCACGUUUUGUGCCUUUGAGUCUAGUCCUCAGUGGAAAGGUGUUCUGCUCAGUUGAAGACAUAGAGGCAUUUGUCUGAGAAGG
rnacentral:snoRNA from 1 species